AUCCUUAUCUGGCAGAGGAGAUACCAUUAUCACGAAGAUAGUUUUUCUAGGGUGAGGCUUUUACCCAUUGCCCUCUGUAUUUGCUGAUUCCUGAGCUUUCUCCAAGUGUGGGAAAGUCUGUUGCAUAACUUGUGGUAGUGGGGUCUGUGUUUGCACUUCCCCGC
rnacentral:snRNA from 1 species